rnacentral:lncRNA from 1 species
CCCGGCCCGGCCCCGUGCCCGACCCCGGCCCGCCCGACCCCUGCCCGCAGCGGGGCCGCGGUCCCAACCCCAUGUGUCCCACUUGUCUGGAUUAACAUUUGAAGUCUGGCAGUCUGGUCCUUUUCGUAGCUCCUGAGGAUUUUUAGAAGCAUGGGGAGCAUGGGAUGAGUGGACCUCUGGACCCACAAAACUCUGUGGAGAAUGCUGGCUGUGGAUAAAAACAUCUGGAAGUUUCUACCAUCUUUUUACCCUGUUUUUCCCUGGAUCACCCUGUGUCAUUUGUGGUCCUGCCCUGAGGAUUAUAGCAUACAGUCAUUUACUGGAAUACCUCCCCAUGCAUCUUCUUGAAAUGGAGCCAUUGCUUUACCCAGCUGGAAGAUAUUUUCUCUUCUCCCAGAGCUUUUCCAGUGCAGCAACACUCCUGUCCAUCAGGAUGAUUGGUGUGCUCUGUCCUUGUGGUCAACUGCUUUGCUUGGAAGAUAAAUGGCAGAGGAGAAAAUGUGAGGGAAGAAGGACAGGUAAGAAAAACGCAAAUUUCUCAAUUGUCAGGUUGUUGAAACUACUUUUGAGGUUUGAGAGAAAAUGUCAGUAUUUGAGUUGGAG